GCAGUCGAACGAACUCUGGUAUUGAUUGGUGCUUGCAUCAUGAUUUACAUUUGAGUGAGUGGCGAACUGGUGAGUAACACGUGGGAAACCUGCCCAGAAGCGGGGGAUAACACCUGGAAACAGAUGCUAAUACCGCAUAACAACUUGGACCGCAUGGUCCGAGUUUGAAAGAUGGCUUCGGCUAUCACUUUUGGAUGGUCCCGCGGCGUAUUAGCUAGAUGGUGGGGUAACGGCUCACCAUGGCAAUGAUACGUAGCCGACCUGAGAGGGUAAUCGGCCACAUUGGGACUGAGACACGGCCCAAACUCCUACGGGAGGCAGCAGUAGGGAAUCUUCCACAAUGGACGAAAGUCUGAUGGAGCAACGCCGCGUGAGUGAAGAAGGGUUUCGGCUCGUAAAACUCUGUUGUUAAAGAAGAACAUAUCUGAGAGUAACUGUUCAGGUAUUGACGGUAUUUAACCAGAAAGCCACGGCUAACUACGUGCCAGCAGCCGCGGUAAUACGUAGGUGGCAAGCGUUGUCCGGAUUUAUUGGGCGUAAAGCGAGCGCAGGCGGUUUUUUAAGUCUGAUGUGAAAGCCUUCGGCUCAACCGAAGAAGUGCAUCGGAAACUGGGAAACUUGAGUGCAGAAGAGGACAGUGGAACUCCAUGUGUAGCGGUGAAAUGCGUAGAUAUAUGGAAGAACACCAGUGGCGAAGGCGGCUGUCUGGUCUGUAACUGACGCUGAGGCUCGAAAGUAUGGGUAGCAAACAGGAUUAGAUACCCUGGUAGUCCAUACCGUAAACGAUGAAUGCUAAGUGUUGGAGGGUUUCCGCCCUUCAGUGCUGCAGCUAACGCAUUAAGCAUUCCGCCUGGGGAGUACGGCCGCAAGGCUGAAACUCAAAGGAAUUGACGGGGGCCCGCACAAGCGGUGGAGCAUGUGGUUUAAUUCGAAGCUACGCGAAGAACCUUACCAGGUCUUGACAUACUAUGCAAAUCUAAGAGAUUAGACGUUCCCUUCGGGGACAUGGAUACAGGUGGUGCAUGGUUGUCGUCAGCUCGUGUCGUGAGAUGUUGGGUUAAGUCCCGCAACGAGCGCAACCCUUAUUAUCAGUUGCCAGCAUUAAGUUGGGCACUCUGGUGAGACUGCCGGUGACAAACCGGAGGAAGGUGGGGAUGACGUCAAAUCAUCAUGCCCCUUAUGACCUGGGCUACACACGUGCUACAAUGGAUGGUACAACGAGUUGCGAACUCGCGAGAGUAAGCUAAUCUCUUAAAGCCAUUCUCAGUUCGGAUUGUAGGCUGCAACUCGCCUACAUGAAGUCGGAAUCGCUAGUAAUCGCGGAUCAGCAUGCCGCGGUGAAUACGUUCCCGGGCCUUGUACACACCGCCCGUCACACCAUGAGAGUUUGUAACACCCAAAGUCGGUGGGGUAACCUUUUAGGAACCAGCCGCCUA
rnacentral:rRNA from 2 species